rnacentral:rRNA from 1 species
GACGAACGCUGGCGGCGUGCUUAACACAUGCAUGUCGAACGGAAAGGCCCUGCUUUUGUGGGGUGCUCGAGUGGCGAACGGGUGAGUAACACGUGAGUAACCUGCCCUUGACUUUGGGAUAACUUCAGGAAACUGGGGCUAAUACCGGAUAGGAGCUCCUGCUGCAUGGUGGGGGUUGGAAAGUUUCGGCGGUUGGGGAUGGACUCGCGGCUUAUCAGCUUGUUGGUGGGGUAGUGGCUUACCAAGGCUUUGACGGGUAGCCGGCCUGAGAGGGUGACCGGCCACAUUGGGACUGAGAUACGGCCCAGACUCCUACGGGAGGCAGCAGUGGGGAAUAUUGCACAAUGGGCGGAAGCCUGAUGCAGCAACGCCGCGUGCGGGAUGACGGCCUUCGGGUUGUAAACCGCUUCCGCCUGUGACGAAGCGUGAGUGACGGUAAUGGGUAAAGAAGCACCGGCUAACUACGUG